GUUGCACGCUCGCUUUGGCAGCACAUAGAUUAAAAGGAAUGACACAGAGAAGUUUAGCACGGCCCUUGUGCAAAGAUGACAUGCAAAUUCGUGAAGCAUUCCAUACAAGC
ensembl:snRNA U6 U6 spliceosomal RNA